AUACUUACCUGGCAGGGGAGAUACCAUGAUCACGAAGGUGGUUUUCCCAGGGCGAGGCUUAUCCAUUGCACUCCGGAUGUGCUGAUCCCUGCGAUUUCCCCAAAUGUGGGAAACUCAACUGCAUAAUUUGUGGUAGUGGGGGACUGCGUUCGCGCUUUCCCCUG
ensembl:snRNA U1 U1 spliceosomal RNA